GUUCCUUCUAAGGAUUCCAUUGAGGGAGUUGAGUGUAUAGGAAGGAAAUCUUAUUGUUCAAGUUUUCCUUUGAAACCUCUUAGAAUGGAAUAAAACUGCCCAAAUCAUA
ensembl:miRNA